GACGAACCGAGCGAACGUUGUUCGGAAUCACUGGGCUUAAAGGGCGCGUAGGCGGGCUGUCAAGUCUGGGGUGAAAUCCCGCGGCUCAACCGUGGAACUGCCUCAGAUACUGACGGCCUCGAGGGAGGUAGGGGCGAGCGGAACUGUGAGUGGAGCGGUGAAAUGCGUUGAUAUUCACAGGAACUCCGGUGGCGAAGGCGGCUCGCUGGACCUUUCCUGACGCUGAGGCGCGAAAGCUAGGGGAGCAAACGGG
rnacentral:rRNA from 1 species